GGGUUUUUUUUUUAAAAGACAAUAUGCUAUACUUUUCAGAAUUGAUUCUUUAUACAUGUAUUUUCAUGACUUGAAAACAUUGGGGUUUUUUGGAUUGAAAGCAGUGGUUUUUAUUUUGUGUCUGAAACUUCACACUAGAUCUGUAUUGUCUGUGUUUUUCGUUGCAAUGCAUGGUUUUUACCUUCUUGUUUCUUUUAUUUUUGCACCACAGGGUACUCAUUUGAACGAUCGUGUAGACGCAGCCAACAAGAGAGCAGUCAAAAUUCUUCGUGACCAAUGAAAUCUCUCCUUCUACAUGUUAAACAAAUUCUGUGCUCCAAGAUGCCAAAUCAAAAAUUAUGUUUAUAAAACCAGUCUGUUAAGGGACACAACUCAUGAACAAACUUUAUACAAGAGAUUGUUAAGUACGACUUGCUCCAUCAUUUGAUUUAUGAGUUUAAAUUCAUUUACCAUUACAUGAAUCGAUGAACGAUAUCUUAAGUUUUUGCAAAUUUCUCCAAAUAUGUUUCACAGAUGUGAUACAGUUAAAAGUACAUUUAGCUGAUCAGUAUCAAAUGAAACUUUCUAAGCAAGAUUAUCAUCUGUAUCCGUUUACUGAGUUAGAACUAUACUGGUAUUUGUUAGACAAUUUAGCUUCCUUUUUUCUUUGAAAUGAAAUAGAUUACCGUAGUUUAAUUAUUUAUAUUAUAGACAUUUAUCUAUCAGUAAAGUACAGGUACCUCCAUAAGAUAUGUGUUGUUGCUUUUGCAUGCAUAACUUUUCUGUGUCCUGAAGCUUCAUUUAUAUAAAGUUCAUGUGGGGCAUACAAUGUGCAAUAUGCUAAUUCCAAUUACCGUAUAAUUUGCAUUUUUUCAUCUACGAUGACUAUAUCAAUCAGAAAUAGGAUCAGGUGAUAGAAUUAGAGUAGUCACCCAUUCCAUCUCAUGCAAAUGUCAAGUUUGUUUUAUUGUAGAUGAUGUCAUUUUUAUUUUUUCAUUCAUGUUGAACACCUUGUGGUUAGAUAGUAUAAAUUAGAUUAUGCAAACUGUUGUUUUGCGUGAAAUCCGAUUUAUCAUGUAAAAGCUCAGAAUUGCCGUAUACGUUACAGUAUGUAAUCAUGAACAAUAUAAAGAAUCGAAGCAUUCAAUUACAGAUGUAAAAUGUACAGAACUGUUAUUUAGUAUUAUUAUUAUUUAGCAGUACUGCAUCUGUAUUAAAUUUGUUCACUAUUUAUAGAUGGAUCUUUUCAAAUAUUGUAAAGUUUGUGAUAAAUUGCUGCUUGUUAUUAUAAAGUAUCUCUUAGUAAGAACUUGACAUUAAAUAGAUUGGUGAUCCAUAGAGGUGCAUCAAAUGAAAAGCUGCUUUCAAAUACUAUGUAAGAGAACACAUUUUUAACACUAUGAUUUUAUGUAUACUCAUGUUAUAAAAUUAAACAUUUCAUGAUGC
rnacentral:misc_RNA from 1 species